CACGUAGGGGGCGAGCGUUGUCCGGAUUUAUUGGGCGUAAAGAGCUCGUAGGCGGUCUGUCGCGUCUGCUGUGAAAACUCAGGGCUUAACCCUGAGCUUGCAGUGGGUACGGGCAGACUAGAGUGCGGUAGGGGAGACUGGAAUUCCUGGUGUAGCGGUGAAAUGCGCAGAUAUCGGAAGGAACGCCCGUGGCGAAAGCGGGCUCCUGGACCACAACUGACGCUGAGGCGCGAAAGCCAGGGGAGCGAACGGG
rnacentral:rRNA from 1 species